AUUGAACGCUGGCGGCAGGCUUAACACAUGCAAGUCGAGCGGAGAUGAGGUGCUUGCACCUUAUCUUAGCGGCGGACGGGUGAGUAAUGCUUAGGAAUCUGCCUAUUAGUGGGGGACAACAUUCCGAAAGGAAUGCUAAUACCGCAUACGCCCUACGGGGGAAAGCAGGGGAUCUUCGGACCUUGCGCUAAUAGAUGAGGCUAAGUCGGAUUAGCUAGUUGGUGGGGUAAGGGCCUACCAAGGCGACGAUCUGUAGCGGGUCUGAGAGGAUGAUCCGCCACACUGGGACUGAGACACGGCCCAGACUCCUACGGGAGGCAGCAGUGGGGAAUAUUGGACAAUGGGCGGAAGCCUGAUCCAGCCAUGCCGCGUGUGUGAAGAAGGCCUUUUGGUUGUAAAGCACUUUAAGCGAGGAGGAGGCUACCUGGAUUAAUACUCUAGGAUAGUGGACGUUACUCGCAGAAUAAGCACCGGCUAACUCUGUGCCAGCCGCCGCGGUAACAC
rnacentral:rRNA from 1 species